AUUGAACGCUGGCGGCAGGCCUAACACAUGCAAGUCGAACGGUAACAGGAAGAAGCUUGCUUCUUUGCUGACGAGUGGCGGACGGGAGGGUAAUGUCUGGGAAACGGCCUGAUGGAGGGGGUUCACUACUGGAAACGGUAGCUACUACCGCAUAAUGUCGCAAGAUCAAAGAUCGUGACCUUCCGCCCUCUCACCUGCGCCUGUGCCCAGAUGGGAUUAGCUAGUAGGUGGGGUAAAGGCUCACCUAGGCGACGAUCCCUACCUGGUCUGAGAGGAUGAACAGCCACACUGGAACUGAGACACGGUCCAGACUCCUACGGGAGGCAGCAGUGGGGAAUAUUGGACAAUGGGCGCAAGCCUGAUGCAGCUAUGCCGCGUGUAUGAAGAAGGUCUUCGGGUUGUAAAGUACUUUCAGCGGGGAGGAAGGGAAUAAAGUUAAUACCUUUCCUUAUUGACGUUACCAGCAGAAUAAGCACCGGCUAACUCCGUG
rnacentral:rRNA from 1 species